rnacentral:lncRNA from 1 species
GCGAAAACAAAUGAUGUUAUAGUCCCCAAAUGUGAUAAUCAGAGUUAAAGGACAAUCGAUGGUUUGUUGAAAAACUUCAACUUGUGAAGAUGGAAAAGGUGACUCUAGAAAUAAUGAAGCCUUCAACAAUGUUUGAAGAUUCUCUUUUUUGACUGAAUGUUUGGAGAUUCUUUUCAGCACACAUGUUGCAUUGAAUCAGCUAAUGAUGUUGUUUUUGGUUAUGUUAAAUCAUCUUAUUCGAUCAAAUGUGUUUUUCCUUUAGUAUGUAGUAUGACCAAUAAUUUUGGCUUGGACUCUAAAAUGUAAGUUUUUACUGGCGUACAUUUGGAUUGGCUUAUCUACUAUUUAUAUAUGAG